CCUACGGGGCGCAGCAGUGAGGAAUAUUGGUCAAUGGACGAGAGUCUGAACCAGCCAAGUAGCGUGAAGGAUGACUGCCCUAUGGGUUGUAAACUUCUUUUAUAUGGGAAUAAAAUGUUCCACGUGUGGGAUUUUGUAUGUACCAUAUGAAUAAGGAUCGGCUAACUCCGUGCCAGCAGCCGCGGUAAUACGGAGGAUCCGAGCGUUAUCCGGAUUUAUUGGGUUUAAAGGGAGCGUAGGUGGAUUGUUAAGUCAGUUGUGAAAGUUUGCGGCUCAACCGUAAAAUUGCAGUUGAAACUGGCAGUCUUGAGUACAGUAGAGUUGGGCGGAAUUCGUGGUGUAGCGGUGAAAUGCUUAGAUAUCACGAAGAACUCCGAUUGCGAAGGCAGUUCACUGGACUGCAACUGACACUGAGGCUCGAAAGUGUGGGUAUCAAACAGGAUUAGAUACCCCUGUAGUC
rnacentral:rRNA from 1 species